rnacentral:piRNA from 1 species
UUGCCAAACUAAGCAAGGUCACGUGUGAAAA